UUUCGGUUCGUGAAAGAUGGCGCUAUGCAAAUCGCGCCGCCACACGCACUGCGAAAGUCAAAUGGGAAACCAGAAUUCGCGCCUGCCUGCCCCGGCAAGCCCGGCCCGAACAAUCUGUGCUGCCCCCGCAACGGUAAGCAUGUCAGCCCGAUACCAGCCUUGCCCAUCCCUCGGUU
rnacentral:ncRNA from 1 species